rnacentral:rRNA from 1 species
CCUGACGAGCAUAGCACGCUGGUCCCACCCCUUCCCAUCCCGAACAGGGCCGUGAAACGGUGUUGCGCCGAUGAUAGUAUGGAUUACCCAUGCGAAAGUAGGUCAUCGUCAGGU